rnacentral:misc_RNA from 1 species
GAUGAAGAACGCAGCGAAAUGCGAUAAGUAGUGUGCAUUGCAGAAUUCAGUGAAUCAUCGAAUCUUUGAACGCACAUUGCGCCCCUUGGUAUUCCAUGGGGCAUGCCUGUUCGAGCGUCAUUUGUACCUUCAAGCUCUGCUUGGUGUUGGGUGUUUGUCUCGCCUCUGCGCGUAGACUCGCCUCAAAACAAUUGGCAGCCGGCGUAUUGAUUUCGGAGCGCAGUACAUCUCGCGCUUUGCACUCAUAACGACGACGUCCAAAAGUACAUUUUUACACUCUUGACCUCGGAUCAGGUAGGGAUACCCGCUGAACUUAAGCAUAUCAAUAAGCGGAGGA